rnacentral:tRNA from 1 species
GGGGCAGUGGCGGAAUGGCAUACGCGUUGCGCUUAGAACGCAAUGGUCAAAAGCUGUAAGGGUUCGACUCCCUUCUGCCCCA